CGAACAGUCACACUGGAACUGAGACACGGUCCAGACUCCUACGGGAGGCAGCAGUGAGGAAUAUUGCACAAUGGGAGGAAUCCUGAUGCAGCGACGCCGCGUGCGGGAUGAAGGGGCUUAGCCUCGUAAACCGCUGUCGGAGGGGACGAAUGGUACAUUUGAUGUACUGAGACGGUACCCUCAAAGGAAGGAUCGGCUAACUACGUGCCAGCAGCCGCGGUAAUACGUAGGAUCCGAGCGUUGUCCGGAAUUACUGGGUGUAAAGGGUGCGUAGGCGGACUUGUGCGUCAGAGGUGAAAUCCACGGGCUUAACCCGUGGGGUGCCUUUGAUACGGCAAGUCUUGAGUGCGAGAGAGGUGGGUGGAAUUCCUGGUGUAGCAGUGAAAUGCGUAGAUAUCAGGAGGAACACCGAUGGCGAAGGCAGCCCACCGGCUCGCAACUGACGCUGAGGCACGAAAGCGUGGGGAUCAAACAGGAUUAGAUACCCUGGUAGUCCACGCCUUAAACGAUGUAUGCUUGGUGUUGGGUCGCAAGACUCAGUGCCGGAGAAACCUAUUAAGCAUACCACCUGGGGAGUACGAUCGCAAGGUUGAAACUCAAAGGAAUUGACGGGGGCCCGCACAAGCGGUGGAUCAUGUGGUUUAAUUCGAUGCAACGCGAAGAACCUUACCCGGGC
rnacentral:rRNA from 1 species